UUCCACAGCUACUGGUCUACAGCUGUCUUUAUGGUAGCAGUUGUAGCAUUCCUCUGUGGGAAAGAAACUGUUACACAAUUUAAUGCCUCUUUCUUAGCCACACAGGAGGAGGAUUAUGUGUGACAGACACAA
ensembl:snoRNA Snora41 small nucleolar RNA, H/ACA box 41